CGCGACAGUGUGCUACUGCCUAGA
rnacentral:siRNA from 1 species